AUUUGGGUAACCGGUUACCAGAACCCAAAUUUGUAUUUUUAUUUUUUUAUUUUUUUAUAUGUUAUGGUUUAAUUUGAAAUGACAUCAAGGAAAUCCUAGUUUUCCUCAGGUAAAAUCACUAUGCUUUGAGUCCAUGUAACAUGCCUUUGGUUAUGAAUGCUAACGCGAAUAUGGUGAUGAAAUGGUGAACGUAGGCAUGUG
rnacentral:lncRNA from 1 species